UACGGGGGGAGCAAGCGUUGUUCGGAUUUACUGGGCGUAAAGGGCGUGUAGGCGGCGCAACAAGUCACUUGUGAAAUCUCCGGGCUUAACCCGGAGCGGCCAAGUGAUACUGUCGUGCUAGAGUGCGGAAGGGGCUACUGGAAUUCUCGGUGUAGCGGUGAAAUGCGUAGAUAUCGAGAGGAACACCAGCGGCGAAGGCGGGUAGCUGGGCCGACACUGACGCUGAGGCGCGAAAGCCAGGGGAGCGAACGGG
rnacentral:rRNA from 1 species